UGAGGGACCCGUCCCUUCUCUACGCGGUGGCGACCAUUUCUUUCGAGCCUGUGGGAGAGCUCGGCGAUGGAUUCCAGCCUUUUGCUUAUGGAUCGCUGCCUGUUUUUGGUUGCUGGGAUCAAGCUCGAGCUGUCCCACUGGAGCGGCUGUCUGCCCGGAACUGGGAGUUGAGUUGCGUCCUGCCAUCGUUUGAUAUCCAUGAGGCUCCGGAGGU